AACAGUUUAAAGUAGUGGUAUGUUUAUUGACUGAUAUUAAGUUUAAUCGAAAACAUUAUCUAAAUUGAUAUAUGAAGUGAAUGGUAUGGUUCUUGUAGAAGUAAUUGGGGCAAAAAAAUCUGCAGGCAAAUUGACAAUAGGUAUUGAUGACCGUUUUAUGUGAGUGAAAAGUGAGGAAUCUGAAGUGAUAUGGUUAAUAGCUCCGUUAUCCAAAAUCUAAGGUUUAGUGAAUACAGAAUCAAUUGAGAUAUUAGAAAAAAGAAAUAGACUUGUAGCAUUUGCAUAAGUAUUACUAUUACCAGAAGCAGAAUUUAUAGACAUCAUAGAUAAGGCAUGAACUAGUUGUUGAAUUUGAUUUGUUGAUAAACUAUGUGUGGAAUUGAGUUGGUUGGAGAGUUGAUUGGGUUUAUUGACAUCCUAUGAAUGAGUGACUUGCACAAACUGAGAAGAGUUUGUCAUAUUGACACUAAAGAAGGAUUUGUGUGUAGUUCUUCUUUAUCCACGUUGUUGCUGUUGUGGUUGACCUUGUUGAUUCCCCU
rnacentral:lncRNA from 1 species